rnacentral:ncRNA from 1 species
AUUAAUAACGAGGGUCGGGCACCCUGCAAAAUUAAU